rnacentral:rRNA from 1 species
CAGCCGUAAACAAUGUGCGUUAGGCGUGUCGGUAACCACGUGUUACUGAUGCGCCGAAGAGAAAUCGUGAAACGCACCACCUGGGAAGUACGGUCGCAAGGCUGAAACUUAAAGGAAUUGGCGGGGGAGCACCACAACAGGUGGAGCCUGCGGUUUAAUUUGGACUCAACGCCGGGAAGCUCACCGGAUAAGACAGCAAUAUGUAGGCCAGGCUGAAGACCUUGCCUGAAUCGCUGAGAGGAGGUGCAUGGCGUAGACGUCU